GAGCAUUGUUGUCUGAAAAAGUGCAAAAAGUAGGUCCUGGCCGGGUUCGAACCGGCGACCUUCUGCGUGUGAAGCAGACGUGAUAACCACUACACCACAGGACCGCGGGACAUGGGCUGCC
ensembl:ncRNA F21A3.10 ncRNA